GAUGAACGCUGGCGGCGUGCCUAAUACAUGCAAGGCGAGCGAACAGACGAGGAGCUUGCUCCUCUGACGUUAGCGGCGGACGGGUGAGUAACACGUGGAUAACCUACCUAUAAGACUGGGAUAACUUCGGGAAACCGGAGCUAAUACCGGAUAAUAUAUUUAACCGCAUGGUUCAAUAGUUAAAGACGGGUUUGCUGUCACUUAUAGAUGGAUCCGCGCCGCAUUAGCUAGUUGGUAAGGUAACGGCUUACCAAGGAAACGAUGCGUAGCGGACCUGAGAGGGUGAUCGGCCAGGCUCGAACUUAGCCACGAUCCAGCCUCCUACGGGGGGCCGCAGCAGGUAGUCUUCCGCAAUGGCCGAAAGCCUGACGGAGCUACGCCGCGUGAGUGCUGAAGGUCUUCCGAUCGUAAACCUCUGUUAUUAGGGAAGAACAAAUAUGUAAGUAACUAUGCACGUCUUGACGGUACCUAAUCAGACAGCCCCGGCUAACUCCGUG
rnacentral:rRNA from 1 species